rnacentral:rRNA from 1 species
UAGUACGGCGAGUGAGCGGGAAGAGCUCAAAUUUGAAAGCUGGCGCCUUCGGCGUCCGCGUUGUAAUCUCGAGAAGUGUUUUCCGCGUUGGACCAUGUACAAGUUCCUUGGAAUAGGACGUCAUAGAGGGUGAAAAUCCCGUACCUGACAUGGACGCCCAAUGCUUUGUGAUACACUCUCCACGAGUCGAGUUGUUUGGGAAUGCAGCUCAAAAUGGGUGGUAAAUUCCAUCUAAAGCUAAAUAUUGGGGAGAGACCGAUAGCGAACAAGUACCGUGAGGGAAAGAUGAAAAGCACUUUGGAAAGAGAGUUAAAUAGUACGUGAAAUUGUCGAAAGGGAAGCGCUUGAAGUUAGACAUGCUUAUUGGGAUUCAGCCUUGCUUUUGCAUGGUGCAUUUCCCGGUUAGCAGGCCAGCAUCAGUUUUGGCUGUCGGAUAAGGGUAAGAGGAAUGUGGCCCCUCGGGGUGUUAUAGCCUCUUACUGGAUACGGCGGCUGGGACUGAGGACCGCAGUGUGCCUUUAUGGCGGGCCUUCGGGCACCUUCACACUUAGGAUGCUGGCGUAAUG